rnacentral:lncRNA from 1 species
UUCAAUAUCCUAAAUGGAUAUGAGAUCAACGGGGCAAUUCCCAGAUCCCUCCGACUCCACCACAAAGGCACAAACCUUAACCUCCUCCUCCCCAGAGAGAAGCAGUCCGCCGCUCCCGUUGAACCAGAAUCCAGCGAAUCCCAUGCCGCACCCAAGCUGCCAGAGGAGAUCCCGUUGACGAAACUCAAAUUUCGACCGAUCAACCGCCACUUCCCCACCCGUCCGACGUACCAAAUCUUCCAUUCCGGCCAUAACUGCGCGCCAUGACGUCAACAAGCAGCGCCCCUGGCCUGGACCCCGCGUUACGGCAGAAUCUGUGACCUAACCUACGACGUCGCCGCCCUCGCCGCCGGCCAAGACUCCGCCCGUCAUGUGUCGGCGACCAAUCUGGAGAAGGAAAUUUCAAUUGCUGCAAACGAGAUCAAGAAACAACACCAGUAUCAACAUCGCCACCACCGUGAAUCUCAGCUCUUCCGCAACCGCCUCCCCCAGGGAGAUUUCACCAAGGAAUGGAUGGAGCUCGAGUCUAACGAGAAUUUGAUCGUGAAGAAGAUCCGCAAGUUCUGAACCAUUUUCUAAAAUGGUUACGGUUAGAGUAAAUAACCGUAGUUCGAUAACUAACGUAAUCGACAUCAAAACACCGAAGGCAAAUCGACUGAAUGGCGGCCACCAGAGACCAGCGGGACUUGGUUCCCGCAUGGUUGAAACCAAUGCUGAAAGCAAACUAUUCCGUUCUUU